rnacentral:rRNA from 1 species
AGAGUUUGAUCCUGGCUCAGAGCGAACGCUGGCGGCAGGCUUAACACAUGCAAGUCGAACGGGCGUAGCAAUACGUCAGUGGCAGACGGGUGAGUAACGCGUGGGAACGUACCUUUUGGUUCGGAACAACCCAGGGAAACUUGGGCUAAUACCGGAUGCUCCGGAAACGGCAAAGAUUUAUCGCCAAAGGAUCGGCCCGCGUCGGAUUAGCUAGUUGGUGGGGUAACGGCCUACCAAGGCGACGAUCCGUAGCUGGUCUGAGAGGAUGAUCAGCCACACUGGGACUGAGACACGGCCCAGACUCCUACGGGAGGCAGCAGUGGGGAAUAUUGGACAAUGGGCGCAAGCCUGAUCCAGCCAUGCCGCGUGAGUGAAGAAGGCUUAGGGUAAAGCUCUUUCAGCGGGGGACGAUAAUGACGGUACCCGCAGAAGAAGCCCCGGCUAACUUCGUGCCAGCAGCCGCGGUAAUACGAAGGGGGCUAGCGUUGUUCGGAAUUACUGGGCGUAAAGCGCGCGUAGGCGGAUAUUUAAGUCAGGGGUGAAAUCCCAGGGCUCAACCCUGGAACUGCCUUUGAUACUGGGUAUCUGGAGUUCGGGAGAGGUGAGUGGAAUUCCGAGUGUAGAGGUGAAAUUCGUAGAUAUUCGGAGGAACACCAGAAGCGAAGGCGGCUCACUGGCCCGAUACUGACGCUGAGGCGCGAAAGCGUGGGGAGCAAACAGGAUUAGAUACCCUAGUAGUCC